rnacentral:misc_RNA from 1 species
GCCUUAAUGACAAAUCAAGAUGUCCAAAAUCCUCUUGAACACUCUCAUGACCAUUUUUCAUUGAUUCAUAACUCAUCAUCAUCUCUCUUCUUCCAUAGCUUAUUAAAUCAUUAUUUGUAACAAACCUAGCACCAUGACCAUGACCAUGACUAGUAUGGCUCGGACCACUAGGGCUCAACGAGCAAUGAUUAUUACUAUUACUAUUAUUAUUACUAUUACUAUGAUUUGACCAACUAGAAUGAGGCCCGCGUAGGGUUGAACUCAACUCCCUACUCUUCUUGGCUAGGGUUCUUUCGAGUUUAUGAGCAUUCUGGUGUCCUCCUAGAGCUUGUGAACUAUAAAACUUUCUUCUACAAUAAUUGCAAGAAAAAACACGUGGCUCAACCGGGCUUAAAGGGGUUGAUGAUGAUGAUGAUGAUGAUUGGUCAAAUAAAAGAUCAUUUCUUGAUAGACUUAGGUUUAAGGCCGUGUUUGGUUCAUAACUCAUGACUAAAAAUUUCAAUUUCGAAGAAGGAUAAGACGACGAUUAUCAAGAAGAACAAGAACAAGAACAAG